UACGUAGGGACCGAGCGUUGUCCGGAAUCAUUGGGCGUAAAGAGCGUGUAGGCGGCCACUUAAGUCCUGCGUGAAAUCUUGCGGCUCAACCGCAAGCGGUCGUGGGAAACUGGGUGGCUAGAGUGCGGGAGAGGAGAGUGGAAUUCCUGGUGUAGCGGUGGAAUGCGCAGAUAGUCAGGAAGAACACCCGUGGCGAAGGCGGCUCUCUGGAACGCAACUGACGCUGAGGUGCGAAAGCGUGGGAGCAAACAGG
rnacentral:rRNA from 1 species